AUGAAAUACUUGAGAACGCCCAUGGGCACAAACCACUCCCGUAAAGCCCAGCACAGGGUAGGUGUGAGCGGGGGCAGGAGUGGAGGGCUGCCACCUGCCCCCUGGACGCCACUGGGAAGCCACUGGGUCACUGCUGCGGAGAGCCCACUGGGGGCACUGGUGUCCCGCAUUAUUCUUCUAUGUGUUUUUUAUUUUCUCCUAAAGAGGAUUCAUUGCUUUUAUAACAUCAAACACCAACAGAGAAACAUGAAAAGCAGAGAAAAUUUUGGAAACAGACAAAAUCACUUAGAGACUCACCAGAGGCCCAAAACCAUCCUGGGAGGCAUCCCUCAUUGCCAACACUCAAAAUGCCAGUGGCAGGAGCUAUUCCUCCUCCAUCCCCUGACCGCUCAUUUUCAACCAAAUCACUUGACAAGUCGCACGUACCCUCCUCCUCAGCUCUCGCUGCAGCGCUCCCCACAGCCACCUCAAGGACACCUUUCCAAGGGCAAAGGGCAGGGGCUGGGGGCUGGGUCACUUGCAGAAGUCCUGCCUGGGACAGCUGGGAUGGAAGCCAGGGGACGGUGGAAUGCUUGUUCCCAGUCCCAGUAACACCAAGAGUCGGUUAUAUCAGUGAAUAAAUAUGGGGGAUGGGGUGCAGGGGUCAGCCCAUGGGCAGAGGGCCUUGGGCGUGGGUGUACAGGGAGCAGGGUGGGCUCUGAGCCGCCUGGUGGAAAGGUGGGGGUGUCAGUGCGCGUGCCCAGGGCCACCAGGGAGGAUGCUGGGAGAACAGGGCCUGGGGCUCCUUUGCCCCAAGGUCAGAGAGAGAAAAAGUAGCAGCAAUAGGUAAUUUCAAACGUCCCAAAUGGCAAGGGGUGGGCCUCCAGGCUGGUGACAACCCAUCCCCGCUCUGCCAAGGGUG
rnacentral:lncRNA from 1 species